CGCGGUAAUACGGAGGGUGCAAGCGUUAAUCGGAAUUACUGGGCGUAAAGCGCACGCAGGCGGUCUGUCAAGUCGGAUGUGAAAUCCCCGGGCUCAACCUGGGAACUGCAUUCGAAACUGGCAGGCUUGAGUCUUGUAGAGGGGGGUAGAAUUCCAGGUGUAGCGGUGAAAUGCGUAGAGAUCUGGAGGAAUACCGGUGGCGAAGGCGGCCCCCUGGACAAAGACUGACGCUCAGGUGCGAAAGCGUGGGGAGCAAACAGGAUUAGAUACCCUGGUAGUCCACGCCGUAAACGAUGUCUACUUGGAGGUUGUGCCCUUGAGGCGUGGCUUCCGGAGCUAACGCGUUAAGUAGACCGCCUGGGGAGUACGGCCGCAAGGUUAAAACUCAAAUGAAUUGACGGGGGCCCGCACAAGCGGUGGAGCAUGUGGUUUAAUUCGAUGCAACGCGAAGAACCUUACCUGGUCUUGACAUCCACAGAAGAAUCCAGAGAUGGAUUUGUGCCUUCGGGAACUGUGAGACAGGUGCUGCAUGGCUGUCGUCAGCUCGUGUUGUGAAAUGUUGGGUUAAGUCCCGCAACGAGCGCAACCCUUAUCCUUUGUUGCCAGCGGUUAGGCCGGGAACUCAAAGGAGACUGCCAGUGAUAAACUGGAGGAAGGUGGGGAUGACGUCAAGUCAUCAUGGCCCUUACGACCAGGGCUACACACGUGCUACAAUGGCGCAUACAAAGAGAAGCGACCUCGCGAGAGCAAGCGGACCUCAUAAAGUGCGUCGUAGUCCGGAUUGGAGUCUGCAACUCGACUCCAUGAAGUCGGAAUCGCUAGUAAUCGUGGAUCAGAAUGCCACGGUGAAUACGUUCCCGGGCCUUGUACACACCGCCCGUCACACCAUGGGAGUGGGUUGCAAAAGAAGUAGGUAGCUUAACCUUCGGGAGGGCGCUUACCACUUUGUGAUUCAUGACUGGGGUGAAGUCGUAACAAGGUAACCGUAGGGGAACCUGCGGUUGGAUCACCUCCUUACCUUAAAGAA
rnacentral:rRNA from 1 species